rnacentral:lncRNA from 1 species
ACAGAAGCUCAAGUGGGGCCAGUGCCAUCAGGUCCACAGCCCCUGAGGACUGAGGGAACAGCGGACAGAAGCCACUGGUCUUGGGCCAUGGGGUCAGCGCGGAGUUCAGAUUGGAUGCUCUUCACCUCUCCCUGACCACUGGGCUCUGAGCCAAGGCAGCCUGGAGCAGGCAGAGCCCAGUGACAGCUUCUGGGGGGUCCAGAUGCUCACAGCUGGAGAAAGUGCCCUACUGGAGAAUUCUGACUGCCCACGAGAUGAGCUCUGGCGUGGAGGGAGCUGUGGACAGAAUCAAGAAUAAAAGGGUCCUGGAAGUCCAAGUGUGACCUCCAACCAGCAGCUGAAGCCCUGAGCCUCUGCUCCCACCUCUGGAAUCAGACAAGGACAAGGGGAUGAUUCUGGGCAGGGGUUUGGGAAUCAUACAGAGGUCCAGUUGCCUUCCCACCAAAUUUGAGGAUGCCUGUGUCCACAAA